rnacentral:rRNA from 1 species
GUGGGGAAUCUUGCGCAAUGGGCGAAAGCCUGACGCAGCCAUGCCGCGUGAAUGAUGAAGGUCUUAGGAUUGUAAAAUUCUUUCACCGGGGACGAUAAUGACGGUACCCGGAGAAGAAGCUCCGGCUAACUUCGUGCCAGCAGCCGCGGUAAUACGACGGGGGCUAGCGUUGCUCGGAAUUACUGGGCGUAAAGGGCGCGUAGGCGGACAGCUUAGUCAGAGGUGAAAGCCCAGGGCUCAACCUUGGAAUUGCCUUUGAUACUGGCUGUCUUGAGUUUGGGAGAGGUGAGUGGAACUCCGAGUGUAGAGGUGAAAUUCGUAGAUAUUCGGAAGAACACCAGUGGCGAAGGCGACUCACUGGCCCAAUACUGACGCUGAGGCGCGAAAGCGUGGGGAGCAAACAGGAUUAGAAACCCCUGUAGUCC